CUCUCCCGUCUUGUGAAUGCUGAUGACAUCCGUGAAUCCAGCAGGUCAUAUUCCACCAAAUAGGUAAAGCUGUGAUUCAGAGUACCAGGCAAGGAAUCAGUCACAGCCAAGAACAGAUGGAUCCCUAUUCAGCUUUCCAUCUCAAAACUGGCUUUUUGGGAGGCCACGACAAGACCAAUGCCCUGAAGGCUGAGUUUUCUUGAAAAAGAAAGGCCCCUCCCAUCUCCAAACCCAAAGUUCCUCUAUAAAUAUUUAUAAUCCAAGCUGGGAGGACUUACCCUAGAGAAGACUACUUCUUGCGACAGAGAAGACUCAACCUGUGACACAAGGGACAUUUCCACUGGAUAAGAAAGAAAGAAUUCUUGGCACUAGGGAUAUAAGAGAAAUUCAGAAGGGACCCAUCUUGAUCCAGGUUCACAUGAAUGCACGGCCUGUGGCAGGUGUUCAUCUAUGAUCACAGCUGGCAGAUGUGCAGGCAGGUUGGCCACCAGCUCAGAUGCAUGUGGCUCAAUCCUAUGGGACCACCCAAGGAGCUUGAUGAUAUGUGGAACCACAUCACCACCACCACAGGGAAGAAAGGGGUGGCGUUUACCCAUCAGCCUCCAUGAGUUAAGGGUUUCCCUAGGGGUAUUACCUCCCCUACAUUUCCAGGUUGCACAUGUGUGAGUGCUGAAUGGGGACACAUGGGAAUCCCAUGUCCCAGCAUCAGAGGUUCCAAGGCAGGAAUCAGGAGGCUGCAGGGAGGUACUGACAGGUUUCACCUGUGCAGUACUGGUCACUGCUGCAGCAAUGUCUAAAAGAAGAGUUGAGUACACAGGCAGUGCCCAAUAUAGGACCCAGUGAAGUUCUUAUAAUAGAGAAAGCAAAUAUUUUAAUCAGAUGUUCUACCUUUCAUUACAAUGUGAUUGUGACGGUCAAUAUUGAGAGUCAACUUGAUUGGAUUGAAAGAUGCAAAGUAUUGUUCCUGGGUGUGUCUAUGAGGGUGUUGCCAAAGGAGAUGAACAUUUUUGUCAGUGGACUGGGAAAGGCAGACACACCCCCUAUCUGGGUGGGCACAAUCUAAUCAGCUGCCAGCAUGGCCAGAAUAAAAAGCAGGUGGAAGAACAUGGAAAGACUAAACUGGCUGAGUCUUCUGGCCUCCAUCUUUCUCCCAUGCUGGAUGCUUCCUGCCCUCAAGCAUCAGACUCCAAGUCCUUCAGCUUCUAGUCUCUUGGACCAUCGACCACAGAUUGAAGGCUGCACUGUCGGCUUCCCUACUUUCGAGGUUUUGGGACUUGGACUGGCUUCCUUACUCCUCAGUUGGCAGAUGGCCUAUUGUGGGACCUCAUUUUGUGAUCAUGUGAGUCAAUACUCUUUAAUAAACUCCCCAUUAUAUACACAUCUAUCCUAUUA
rnacentral:lncRNA from 1 species